GGUGGCUCCCACCCUACGUUUGUAUGAUGAACCAAAAAAGUAAACAAAAGGGAAGCAUUACAUGUGUCUUUAGGAGACACAUUUUCACAAGUCAGCAAAAAUCAAGCUGUGGAGGUCAGAUAGACAAACAAAUGCCUGUUCCUACCGCCUCCUCAUCACACAGUGCGGAAUGAAGUGAGUGCGCGAGAUGUGAGCAGACUCUCCCGAUGGAAUGCUUUGCUGGCCCAGUAUCUGUGGAGCAUCUGGGUAAACUAUCCAGGAACAAGUGGACUCAGUGAAUCUGGAACAACAAGCGGUCGAGCAGGAAGCUCUAGAUCUUUGUGUAAAAAGCAGAUUAUAUUAAGAACAUGGACUGAUCAGACA